ensembl:lncRNA
GGACUCGGUCCUGACGAAUUGCGCCGGGGAUGCCCCGGGAUUCGCCCUGGCAGUGGCACAGUUAAAAGGGGAGGCCCGGGGCUGCCGACCACCUCGCGUUAGGGGAAGGGGGCAAAUGACUUCCUUCGGCUCCUUCCCCACUUACUGCCUCAGACACGGUGGUUUUUCCUGUCCAAGCUGCAGCUCUGCCCUGGCUCCCGGGGGCUGCUGAGUCCACAGCAUCUGGGGGCCGUGGGGAGGCUCUGUGUGCCGCCCCUGGCUCCUGUGGUUCCUGGCAGGCUCUGGCUACUGCUGGCUUGUAGAAGCCUCACGCCGUGUCCUCCCUGCCUGUGCCUGUAGGCAGCGGCCUCUUGGAUGGGCUAGGCCACCCUAAUGACCUCACCUUAGUUACUGACAUCCAUGAUGAUUCUAUUUCCAAAUAAGGUCCCAUUUCAAGGAGGGGGGUUAGGACUUCCACGUAGGAGCCCUGGGCGCCCUUCAAUCCCUUGCGCCCUCUCAGCAUGGGGGCCCGCCUGUCAGUCACAGCUUCUGGUGCAAGCCCGGAGCCACGUCGGCAGGUGAGUAGGAAGGGGAGGGUCUCCAGGAGAUGACACUCCCGGGAAGGAGAGGCAGACGAGAGCCAAGCGCCCAGGGAGCAAACGGCCGGGGCUGCUGCGGCCGAGUCCUGAGUACCGCCCCCACCAGGUCCUGAGCACCACAGCACCUGGGAGGCGGGGCAUGGCCCCUGCACCUGGGAGGCGGGGCGUGACCCCUGGACCUCAGGGGCCGCCCCACAGAGCUGGCAGCCCUGCCCCGUGGCUCACCAGCUAUGUAGAGGCUGGGGACAGACACUCUGAGCGUGACUCGUGUCUUGGGGGCUUGCGGGUCCACUCAUGGUCAGGGCUUGGCUCAGCUCCUGGCUCAGCUCCUGGCUCAGCUCCAGGAGAGAGCAGUGUGGACACUCGGCGCCCUGUCUGCUCCGUGGAUCUCUGCCCCGAUGUUCGUAAUCUCUCUGCUGGUGGAAGGGGUGCUCCCAGAGAGGUGGGCACCGUGGCUGCUCUCCCGGGGCUCCCAGCAGCCAGCCUGGCACGGUGCUGAGUGGGCUCUGCUUGGUGGGGGGGGCCUGGGGGAGGGAGGCAGCUGGUGGCUACACAGGCUGAGAUGGAUGAACCAUCCGGGCAUGCUUCCCUCUGGGGAGUCUGAAGGGACGGCUGAACUGCGUGUUUUUGCCGUGUAAGAGGUGCGUGGAGCGAGGUUGAAGGGAAGGGGCAGGGCUCCCGUGCCCUCCCCGGAUGCCACCUCUGGGCACCUCCAAGUGGGCGGCAGUCUCUUCCAGGUUUCUCUGGAGCGUUCAUGACUGAUGAUGUCAUCGACACUGGUGAUCCACUCAACCCUCAGCCUCCCCCGGGGGGCAGGGUGGAAAGUUCCAGGCCUCUGGUCCUGUGGUUGGUUUCCCUGGCCAGCGGCUCCCAUCCUGAAGCUGUCCAGGAGCCCACCAGUGUCCCCUCCCUAGAGCAAGGACGUGCCUGUCACCCGGGAUGCCAAGGACCCGGGGGCUCUGUGUGCGGGUUCGUCACCCAGGAAAUGGGCAGGGACUUGGGAGCUCUGGGUCAGGAGCGGGGCC